AAAGGUCGUGGUUUUGGCAUU
rnacentral:miRNA from 1 species